UGGCUUUUGCUGAACCAAAUUUGUAACGAGAGAAGUCUCGCGUUGAAUGACUUGUUUCUCUAAGUUUGAAUUUUGGAAGUUCUGAUCUAUAGGUGGCUUCUUUUGUGGCUCAAAUGAGCUUUUGUUUGCUUCAGUUUGUUUGAAGGUUCUCAGUGAUCAAGUGAUCAUUUUGAGUUUUUUGCCUUUGGUUGAUUUUUUGAUUGUUUGAUUGAUUGUUCAAUUUUUAUUUUUAUUUUAUUUUUUUUGUGUUUUGCUCUGUUCACCCUCUCUUUAUAUUUAUAAGAAAUGUUCUAGAGUACGGUUUCUUUCUUUUAAUAAUGGACGGCAAAAUUCUCAAAAGAUCUUUCAUUUUUAAAUACAAAGAAGAAGGGGUUUUUAUCAAUUCUGGCAGAUAGGCUCUCAAUAGUCAAUUCUUUUAAGACCAAUCACUUCUCUGUUUUUGGAAGAGAACCUAACCCCUCUUUAAUUCCAACUGCCCCUUUGUGAGAGCUCAAACAGUGAUGUUCAGUUUGCUUUUCCAGUUUGAACAACUCCCUGUUUUCCUGCUUAUCUCUUUUUGAGAACUUAGCCUGCGUAUCCCUUGAAAGAUGGUGCUUUCCUUGGAGUAGAAACAAUAUCUUUGAAUAUAUAAAAGGGUUUUAAUCUUCUUGUGGCAGAGAUUUCAGAGAUGUCUCUUCUUUUUGCCUGCCUCUGUCAACUCUUUAUCAACCCAGUUGAAAUUGCUGAUUUUUCCAAGUCAGAGAAAAAAAUCACGUGGGUCUGUUUCCUUUUGGGUUUCCACUUUUUACUUUGAUCAUGCCAAGCCCAAUUUAGUUUCUUCGAAGCCCAAGCUUGAGAUAGGUUCUGGCUAUUGUUGGAUUUUGGACCUUUGAUUCCUGUUUAUUUUCAGAGUCCAGACUUCUCAGGCCCAGCGUUUUUAUCCUUGUUAUUCUGAGCUCUAUAGCGUUGGACUGGGUGUGCAAGAUUUUGGCCCAAACAACACCUUAGUUAUAGAAUUUACUAAAACCUAUAACUAAAAUGUUAAUAAAACAUUUAAAUAAAUAAAAUAAAUAUUUCACAUAGAAUAUUCAGCGAAAAAGCAGAAACAACAAAAUCUGAAACCUUAAAAUUUUUACAUUAUUUUACAAGUUAGAAC
rnacentral:lncRNA from 1 species